rnacentral:rRNA from 1 species
UACAGAGGUCUCAAGCGUUUGUUCGGAUUCAUUGGGCGUAAAGGGUGCGUAGGUGGCGCGCUAAGUCAGGUGUGAAAUUUCGGAGCUUAACUCCGAAACUGCAUUCGAUACUGCCGUGCUUGAGGACUGGAGAGGAGACUGGAAUUUACGGUGUAGCGGUGAAAUGCGCAGAUAUCGGGAGGAACACCAGUGGCGAAGGCGGCUAACUGGUCCAGCACUGACGCUGAGGUGGCGAAAAGCG